UAGCGUAGGGUGCAAGCGUUAAUCGGAAUUACUGGGCGUAAAGCGUGCGCAGGCGGUUUUGUAAGUCUGUUGUGAAAUCCCCGGGCUCAACCUGGGAAUGGCAAUGGAGACUGCAAGGCUAGAGUUUGGCAGAGGGGGGUAGAAUUCCACGUGUAGCAGUGAAAUGCGUAGAUAUGUGGAGGAACACCGAUGGCGAAGGCAGCCCCCUGGGUCAAGAUUGACGCUCAUGCACGAAAGCGUGGGGAGCAAACAGG
rnacentral:rRNA from 1 species